rnacentral:rRNA from 1 species
GACGAACGCUGGCGGCGUGCUUAAUACAUGCAAGUCGAACGGUGAACCUCUUCGGAGGGGAUCAGUGGCGAACGGGUGAGUAACACGUGGGCAACCUGCUCCCGGCUCUGGUAUAACUCCAAGAAAUUGGGGCUAAUACCGGAUGUUCACCGCUUCCCGCAUGGGUGGUGGUGGAAAGGGUUUCGGGCUGGGGGUGGGCCCGCGGCCUAUCAGCUUGUUGGUUAGGUAGUGGCCUACCAAGGCGACGGUGCAUGGCCGGCCUGCGAGGGUGACCGGCCACACUGGGCCUGGGGAGCGGGCCAGACUGCUACGGGAGGCAGCAGUGGGGAAUAGUGCGCAAUGGGCGGAAGCCGGACGCAGCGACGCCGCGUGGGGGAUGACGGCCUUCGGGUUGGAAACCUCGUUCAGCAGGGACGAAGCGCAAGUGACGGUACCUGCAGAAGAAGCACCGGCCAACUACGUG